GACUAGAGUUUGAUCCUGGCUCAGAACGAACGCUGGCGGCAUGCCUAACACAUGCAAGUCGAACGAAGGCUUCGGCCUUAGUGGCGCACGGGUGCGUAACGCGUGGGAAUCUGCCCCUCGGUUCGGAAUAACACAGAGAAAUUUGUGCUAAUACCGGAUGAUGACUUCGGUCCAAAGAUUUAUCGCCGAGGGAUGAGCCCGCGUAGGAUUAGCUAGUUGGUGAGGUAAAGGCUCACCAAGGCGACGAUCCUUAGCUGGUCUGAGAGGAUGAUCAGCCACACUGGGACUGAGACACGGCCCAGACUCCUACGGGAGGCAGCAGUGGGGAAUAUUGGACAAUGGGCGAAAGCCUGAUCCAGCAAUGCCGCGUGAGUGAUGAAGGCCCUCGGGUCGUAAAGCUCUUUUACCAGGGAUGAUAAUGACAGUACCUGGAGAAUAAGCUCCGGCUAACUCC
rnacentral:rRNA from 1 species